rnacentral:sRNA from 1 species
UGACCUACUCUUGCAGCUGAGGUUUCACCAACUUCAGCUGAUUGUCUUUGUACCA